GUUGAAGGUUGGGUAACACUAACUGGAGGACCGAACCGACUAAUGUUGAAAAAUUAGCGGAUGACCUGUGGCUGGGGGUGAAAGGCCAAUCAAACCGGGAGAUAGCUGGUUCUCCCCGAAAGCUAUUUAGGUAGCGCCUCGUGAAUUCAUCUCCGGGGGUAGAGCACUGUUUCGGCUAGGGGGCCAUCCCGGCUUACCAACCCGAUGCAAACUGCGAAUACCGGAGAAUGUUAUCACGGGAGACACACGGCGGGUGCUAACGUCCGUCGUGAAGAGGGAAACAACCCAGACCGCCAGCUAAGGUCCCAAAGUCAUGGUUAAGUGGGAAACGAUGUGGGAAGGCCCAGACAGCCAGGAUGUUGGCUUAGAAGCAGCCAUCAUUUAAAGAAAGCGUAAUAGCUCACUGGUCGAGUCGGCCUGCGCGGAAGAUGUAACGGGGCUAAACCAUGCACCGAAGCUGCGGCAGCGACACUCAGGUGUUGUUGGGUAGGGGAGCGUUCUGUAAGCCUGCGAAGGUGGCCUGUGAGGGUUGCUGGAGGUAUCAGAAGUGCGAAUGCUGACAUAAGUAACGAUAAAGCGGGUGAAAAGCCCGCUCGCCGGAAGACCAAGGGUUCCUGUCCAACGUUAAUCGGGGCAGGGUGAGUCGACCCCUAAGGCGAGGCCGAAAGGCGUAGUCGAUGGGAAACGGGUUAAUAUUCCCGUACUUGGUGUUACUGCGAAGGGGGGACGGAGAAGGCUAUGUUGGCCGGGCGACGGUUGUCCCGGUUUAAGCGUGUAGGUGUGUGUUCCAGGUAAAUCCGGUU
rnacentral:rRNA from 1 species